UGGCCUGAUAUGAUGAGGUUAUGUCUCUUCUCUGACGUUUGCCGUGGAGAUGACAUUCACUUCUGAUCAGGCUG